AAAGGAAGAAGAUCUAAGAAUGCUUCUUUAAGAAGCUUUCUUGAUGGAGGGGAGUGGCAGACGGGUGAGUAACGCGUGGGAACAUACCCUUUUCUACGGAAUAGCUCUGGGAAACUGGAAUUAAUACCGUAUACGCCCUACGGGGGAAAGAUUUAUCGGGGAAGGAUUGGCCCGCGUUGGAUUAGCUAGGUGGUGGGGGAAAGGGCUCCCAAGGCUACGAUCGAUGACAGGGCUGAGAGGAUGAUCAGCCACAUUGGGGCUGAGACCGGGCCCAAACUCCUACGGGAGGAAGCAGUGGGGAAUAUUGGACAAUUGGCGCAAGCCUGAUCCAGCCAUGCCGCGUGAGUGAUGAUGGACUUAGGGUUGUAAAGGUCUUUCACCGAUGAAGAUAAUGACGGUAGUCGGAGAAUAAGCCCCGGCUAACUUCGUGCCAGCCGCCGCGGUAA
rnacentral:rRNA from 1 species